ncrna:unclassified sequences L31-Actinobacteria ribosomal protein leader
CCGGUUCCGGUUCACGCCCGAUAUCCCAGGUCAGGAACGGGCGACCCGGCGGCC